rnacentral:tRNA from 1 species
GCGGCGCCGGGCUGCCAGAGGUGCACGUCGGCGACCUCGAGCGUCGCCUCGGCGCCGGUGCCGGUCGCGACGACCGCGCCCUGC